GACGAACGCUGGCGGCGUGCCUAAUACAUGCAAGUCGAGCGAAGUUUUUCUGGUGCUUGCACUAGAAAAACUUAGCGGCGAACGGGUGAGUAACACGUAAAGAACCUGCCUCAUAGACUGGGACAACUAUUGGAAACGAUAGCUAAUACCGGAUAAAAGCAUUAACUGCAUGGUUGAUGUUUAAAAGUUGGUUUUGCUAACACUAUGAGAUUGCUUUGCGUUGCAUUAGCUAGUUGGUGGGGUAAAGGCCUACCAAGGCGACGAUGCAUAGCCGACCUGAGAGGGUGACCGGCCACACUGGGACUGAGCCACGGCCCAGACCCCUACGGGAGGCAGCAGUAGGGACUCUUCCGAAAUGGGCGAAAGCCUGACGUAGCAACGCCGCGUGAGUGAAGAAGGAUUUCGGUUGGUAAAGCUCUGUUGUUUGGGAAGAAUGAUUGUGUAGUAACUAUACACAGUAGAGACGGUACCUAACCAGAAAGCCACGGCUAACUACGUG
rnacentral:rRNA from 1 species